UCUGGAUAUCAAGCAAAUCAAAUUACGCCGAAGGCCCACCAGACACGCGCAUUAAUCUUCGGGUAGCCCAGCUACACACCUUUGGGGGCGGGGGCGGGGGCGGGGGCGGGGCGCGAACCUGGCCAGCCGCUUCCCCGGCGGUGGGAUGGACCCGGCUGGGAGGCAGGCCCGGGAGCCGGAGGGGGCGUGGCCACUGUGUCCCCCAUCCCCCCACUUCCACACCGCCCCCCGAGGCCAGGAGCGAGAAGGACCCCGAAGAGCCCAAGCAGAUUUUGGCAGUUUCCUGCCAGAAUCACCACUUCUGGUGAAACGGUGGCUGAAAGGAAAAACAUGCAGUGCUGGCAACACGCAGAGCCAACUCUUUUCAUCUGGAAGUACCUUCAUGGAAAUACCGCCACCUGAAUGGAAACACAGUUUGACCACAAGGUGCCACCAGAAGUGACUGGGGUUGAUGGGGCCUAAGUCUUAGCCUGCCCCACACAUACUUGGUUCUCAAACACCCACCCACCCACCAGACACACUCUGCUCGACAUGGCUCUGGCUAAGGCAGGUCUUCUGGAAGCUUCAGCAUCUUAUCUCCUUUUGCACGAAGCCUCGGGCCUUUCCGGGGAAGAGCUGCUACAGUGGGGAAUGAGAACAAGAUGUGACUUGCUCGUUUACCUCCACCGUAAACCUCUCUUAUUUGAACAACCAUGUCUACAGGAGCAGCUUACCUAACCCUCUGGACUUUAGUUUCUUCUUGGGCAAAGUAGAAACAACAUCCACCUUCAAGGGCCGUUGUGCCAAUUAAAUGAGAAAACCUCAGAGUCGUGUUUGACCCAGAAUAACAGGUCGGUGGGCUCCUUCCCUUUCUGGGGUCACCUAACAUCUUCCCCGCAGGUGACGUGGGGCGAGGAGUCCAUGAUGCUGAGAAGACAAGAAGGCAACCAACUGUGGACAAGAAAGGGUCCAGCCAAGGUCACAAGCCUUCCCCAGAACGGGAUCGUGCACAGAGGUAAGACACUCAGGAAGAGAGGAGUCAAGCUGCACACUUGGCAGCUAAGCCUCCAGCUCUGAGGCAGUGGAGACUCCGAAUGCUCGUCAAAAAGCCUUGAUGUAGAUUUUUUUUUUUUCAUUCCACACAUUAAAAUGAAAAUGACAGCAUUCACGCUAUCCCCACACAUGCCAGUGAAUAACUCACUUCAUGAUGGAUAUGGGUCCCUGUGACUCUGGUAUAGACAACAAAGCAAACCAGAGAUCAGAAGUGAAUUGGGGUUUAUGGCUAAUAUGGGAUACUCAUUUUAAAAUGGCAAAAUGGGGGAGGUCCUGUUGUGGUGCAUUGGAAACAAAUCCAACAAGGAUCCAUGAGGACUCAGGUUCGAUCCCUGGCCUCAGUGGGUUCAGGAUCCAGCAUUGCCAUGACCUGUGGUGCAGGCGGCAGACAAAGCUUGGAUCCUUUGUAGCUGUGGCUGUGGUGUAGGCCGGCAGCUACAGCUCCAAUUCGACCCCUAGCCUGGGAACUUCCAUAUGCUGUGGGGGCAGCCCUAAAAACAAACAAACAAAACCCUGCAAAAUAAACUAACCUUAGCCAUUUUAGCUCUGUAUACAUGUGCAUGAAUCUUCCUAAGGCACUAAAAUUAAUGUUUAAACUGCAUAUGUGUUGAGAAAAAGACAUUUGUUCUCACUGAUCUAUUCUGUCUCAGGGAAACGGUCAUAAGGCUCGAGCUGGCAAGCUGACCAUCGCUCGGUUAGACACCGCUGCCGGCGAGAAAGGUGAACCAGCCAGCCUCCAUCCAGCCACUCGUGGCGUUUUUUGAAAUCCGUAUUAUAACAUGGGAAAUGCCUACAAUGUAGCACUAACUGAAAAGGGGACCAAACAGCAAACAUCAAUCUGGUUACAACUCUAUUAUUAAAAUAAGCACACGGACGUUCUCUCGUGGUGCAGCGAGUUAGGGAUCCCGUGUUGUCACUGCUUGGGUUGCUGCUAUGGUACAGGUUGAUUCCUGGCCCAGGGAACUUCUGCAUGCUGUAUAUACAUAAUAUAUAAUAAGCACACAUAAAAAAUACUGGAAGGAACUAUGCCAAAUGUCAAUAGUGAUUUUCUUUGGGUGGUAGAACUACUAAAAUAUUUUUCUUCUUUUUACCUUCUGCCUUUUUUAAAUGGCAGUAUUAUUUACUGACAGCAAAGUGCACAGGUUUUAAGUGUACGGUGAGUUCUGACAGGAGUUCCCGCCGUGGCACAAUGGGUUAAGAAUCCAAAUGCAGCAGCUUGGGUCACUGCAGAGACUCAGGUUCGACCCCUGGCCCAGUGCAGUGGGCUUAAAGGAUCUGACGUUGCCACAACUGUGGCGUAGGUCACAGCUGCAGCUCCGAUUCCAUCCCUGAGCCGGGAACUUCCAUAAGCUGUGGGUGCAGCCGUGAAAAAAAAAAGUUCUGACAAAUAGGUAUACCAACACCGAUAUCCCCAAAAGUCCCCUUGUGUGCUUAUCAAUCUCCCUCUCUGGCCAGUGGCUACUAUUCUGAUUUCUCUCUCCUCAGAGGGAGGAAUUAAAGAUACCUCCUGCCCAUUUUAGAGAUAGACGCGACAGGUUUUUGGAUUGGCCUCUGACCUGCUUUCGUGCUGCCUUGAGACUUUUUUUGAAGCGGGGAAGGAGCUAUUGAGGAAGAAGCCAGAAGCCCCCAGCAGGAGUGAGCACCGGGGCACCAGCAUCCCGCAGGAGACGUGUAUGAGCAAAAAUGGGGCCGAGAGAGGAGGCGGUGGCGGGGGACGAGCUGAAAAAGAGCUUACAAAUUGUGAAGAGAAAUCAUGGCAUUUAUUUCUAAAUGACAAGUCUUUAUCUUCCUCGCCCAGGCCUAUUUGUUGACAAGCCAUUCUGUCACAAUGUGUUGGUCAGACCCAGGGAGGCCCGGUGUUCUGGCGGGGCAUCAGGCCUUGAUCUUGUCUCCGGUGGAAUUCAGGAGGCUCCCCUGUAAGCAAUCAGCCUCCUAAUGGGCAGGAGGCACCUCUGGGAAUGGGAAUUUGACAAGGCUUGUCAAAGCUGUCAGGCAGCGGCAGAGUCUUUCUCAUUCUCCUGUUCCCACCCCGGGAGGGGAACAGCUCCGUGGGCUCUGCCAGUCCUUGCAGGACAAGAGCUGAAACCACAAUGAAACGCUGCUCCGACAUGAGCGGGGCAGACGCAUAAAUCCGUCACAUUAAAAAACAUCUGGAUGAACAAAACAGGAGCAGGCCAAGUGCACAGUGUACCUCGGGGCUGUGGGAACAGCCUAUGGGGAGCCCAGCUGAGUGAAGGACACCCCUUCCCCCCCC
rnacentral:lncRNA from 1 species